GAUGAACGCUGGCGGCGUGCUUAACACAUGCAAGUCGAACGAAGCACUUCAUAAAGCUUGCUUUAAGAAGUGACUUAGUGGCGGACGGGUGAGUAACGCGUGGGUAACCUGCCUUACACAGGGGGAUAACAGUUAGAAAUGACUGCUAAUACCGCAUAAAACAGCAGAGUCGCAUGACUCAACUGUCAAAGAUUUAUCGGUGUAAGAUGGACCCGCGUCUGAUUAGCUUGUUGGUGGGGUAACGGCCUACCAAGGCGACGAUCAGUAGCCGGCCUGAGAGGGUGAACGGCCACAUUGGGACUGAGACACGGCCCAAACUCCUACGGGAGGCAGCAGUGGGGAAUAUUGGACAAUGGGCGAAAGCCUGAUCCAGCGACGCCGCGUGAGCGAUGAAGUAUUUCGGUAUGUAAAGCUCUAUCAGCAGGGAAGAAAACGACGGUACCUGACUAAGAAGCCC
rnacentral:rRNA from 1 species